rnacentral:sRNA from 1 species
UUUUUUUAAAGGAUAAUAUUGCGGAAAAAUAUAAUAAUAAUUUUUUGGUUAUAAAUAUCCAGUUUUUUUUUUAUUAAAUUUGGGAACGUUUAUAAAAAUUGGGCGUUCGAUCCAUUUAAAAAACCCUAUAUAUUUAAUUUGUUCGAAAUUAAAAAUGGCGCCGAUAAAAUUUUUGGAUUGUUUGUCCAAAUCCCAAUUCGCAAAAAAAACGUAUUGUUAAAAAUUCCAUUUCGAAAAAAAAAUUAUCCAUUACCAAACGUUUUUUUUUUUUAAUUAACGUUUAUUUUUUUUUUGCGGUUUUAUUUUACGGGUUUAUAUGGAUAUAUUAUUAUAACGACGGUUAUUAUUAUAAUUUUUUUGUUUUUAAAUUUAUUAUUGGGGGUUAUAAUAAAAUGGUUAACUAAAACAAUAUAAAAUUGGUAACGGGAAAUUAAUGGUGGUGGCGGGUCAAUUAUAUUUACAAAUUUAAAUUACGACGUGGCAAUUUUCCCAUUUUGCGCGUUAUUUUUGCGUUAUUAUUAUUAUUUAUUGGCGGCGAAAAAAAUAACGCAAUAUUUUUUAAUUACGCCCUAUUUUAAAUAAAAAUUUGUCCGUUUUUUAUUAUUUUUCCGGGGUCCGGUUAUAUUUGUUUUAUCGAAAUUUAUGGUUUUUUUUUCCGAAUUUUCGUAUAUUCCGUAGGCCAAUUUUCCUUUUAUAUUUAUUAUUCCGCUAAUAUUUAAUUUAUUUGGCCGGUUGUUUUUUUUCCGUAUAUCCCGCCACGUUUUUUAUAUCCGUUUGGUGCAAUAUAUUUUCGGAUCGUACGAUUUUUUGGUUAAAAAUUUCCAAUUUAUCGCCGAUUAAUUUUUAUAUAUUUAAUUAAAAAAGGUUAAAAUCGUCGAAAUCGAAUAAAAACGAUAUUUCGUUUUUUUCGUUUCCCUAAUUAUUUUAAAAUAAUAAAUACGCGUAAUAUAUAAUAUUAUUAUUUAUUAAUAUUAUAUAACAUUUAUUAUUAAUGCGAAUUCGUGCGAAAUUUUCCAAAAUUUUACGCAACGUAUUCGCGAUAAACCCCAAUACGGCGUAAUAUAUAAAAGUUUUUCGCAAAUCGUGGGUAAAAUUGCGGUUAUUUUUAAUAUUUAUAACGAAAUUUUUAUUAAUAUAUUCGAUUAUUAAAUGUGUUAAUUUAAAUUCGUUUCCGGCCGUAAUAUAUUUUACAAACGUUAAUUUUAAAAUUUCCGUGCGCAACGGCGGAUUUGUAAUUUUUGGACGUAAUAACCAGGUUAAAUAUAAUAUUUUUGGGCCGUAAUUUUUUAUUUUGCAACCGUAAAAAAAUAAAACCAAUUGCGGUAUUACAAUUUUUAAUAUAUUGUAAUUUUUUUCGUGGAACGCGUUAAUAAUAAUUUAUAGGAGGUUAAUUAUUUGCAAAUAACGGCGUUACGUGCGAAAAACGAUAUUAAUUUUGGGGUUAUUAUUUUAUAAUUUAAUACCCGUCGAUAAAUUAAUUUAAUCGGCAAAUAUAUUAUUAUAAAUUCGGUAUAUUAUAAACGUAUAUAUAUUUGGUAAUAUUUCCGAAAAAACCUGCUCUAAUAUUUUUUUGGAAAUAUAUUUUUUUUCCAAUAAAUUAUUUUGGAUUAAAAUGGCGAUUAUAAUAUAUAAUAUGCGGGAACGAAAUAUAUUUUAUAAAAACCGUAAAACGUGGUAAAAGUUUUUUUUAUUUUUUUAUAAAUUGCGAUUUUUUCCUAAUUUUAUUAUAUCCAUUAAUAUAAUAAAUACAUACGUUUAUUAAAAAUGGUUAAUAAAAUUAAAUUCGAUAUAAAAAAAUCCUGGUAUAGGUAAUAUUUAUUAUUUUUUGUCAAAUAAUUGGGAUAAUUUAAUAUGGAUUAUUUAAAUAAUACGGAUAUAUAACGUGGUUUUUUAAUUUCCGUAAAUAAAAAAUAAAAUAAACAAAUAAUUAAAAUUGGUGGGUUGCAAAUUUAGGAAAUAUUUGAAAAAAAUUUUAUAAAUUUAAAUAACGUUUAUAUAUUUUUUUUCGUUUUUUAAAAUAGCAGGGGUUUGGAUAAAAUAAAAUUUUGGUAUAAUACGUACAAAUAUAAAAUAUUGCGGAAUUAUAUUGGGCGAAUAGGAAUAAUUGGGAAAACAAUAAUUAUAAAUUUGGUGGAAAAUAUAAUAUUUGGCGUAUUUGUAAUAAUUGUCCGGAUAUUAUAAAAAUGCGGGCGUUUGGAAUUAUUUAUAAUAAAAAAAUACGGUGGUAUAUUAUUAGGUUUGCGUAUAUUUUUUAAAAUUUGGAAUCGAUAUAAAAAGGUAAAAAAUUAGGUUUUGCAUUCGAUUAUACCGCCCGUAUUCGAAAUUUUGCACCUUUUUUAAAAAAUUAAAAUUAUUAUAUACGAAAAAUAAUAUUGGAUUA